rfam:Ancylostoma duodenale strain Zhejiang A_duodenale-1.0_Cont4254.1, whole genome shotgun sequence.
GCGACUCAUUUUAGGUGCGUCAAUAGAUCUGACGCACCCUGUAUAUAUUACGCAUAAUCAAUUCACAGUGAAGCAAGCUGUACGGCUAUAUCUUGGAGCCGGGUUGCUUGAAAAUGCAGCCUGAAGUGGGUGACGAACUCCAUCUAAGGCUAAGUAUAGACGCGAAUUCGAUGGCAAAGCAGUACUGGAAGGAAAGUUUCAAAGAACUUAGGGAGUUCAGGAGAACGCAAAAUCGCUGGAGUGGGAACAGAAGAGUUGACGUUGUUGGGUAACCAAGUUUCCAAAGUCGAUUAAUUGUGACUACUUUUAUUUCUGACAAAACAAACCUCAAUAAUUUCUCCUACCGCAUCAAUCACCCCACCACUGUAGCUAUAACUUUGUAAAAAGCAAAACUAGAGCUGCGAAUUGAUAUCAUCUACAAUAGUAGGCAGUCCAACGAACUUAAACCUCAA